GAUGAACGCUGACGGCGUGCUUAACACAUGCAAGUCGAACGGAGUUUACAUGUGAGCGGAGGGUGCUUGCAUCUAACAAUCUUUUGUAAACUUAGUGGCGGACGGGUGAGUAACGCGUGGGUAACCUGCCCUAUACAGGGGGACAACAGUUGGAAACGACUGCUAAUACCGCAUAAGCGCACAGCAUCGCAUGAUGCAGUGUGAAAAACUCCGGUGGUAUAGGAUGGACCCGCGUCUGAUUAGCUAGUUGGUGAGGUAACGGCCCACCAAGGCAACGAUCGGUAGCCGGACUGAGAGGUUGAACGGCCACAUUGGGACUGAGACACGGCCCAG
rnacentral:rRNA from 1 species